rnacentral:tRNA from 1 species
GGCGGAUGUAGCCAAUGUAGCCAAGUGGAUCAAGGCAGUGGAUUUGUGAAUCC